UGAGAAUCUAAAAUAAUUACAAAGUAUCAUUGAGAGUAGUUUCUGAAUUAUUAAAAAAAUGUAUAAUUCUAUUUAUAAAAAAUUUGUAUAUUACUAUAGAUAAAAUCGCCAGCAGCCGCCGCUGGAUAUGCAUCUUCAUCAUUCCUUAGUUCAGCACGAUCUACGUCAACUACAAAAUAAUUUAAAUAUUAAAAUUUAAUUUUCGAUGGUAAUUACUGUUUCGAAAUCACAGCAGCUCGUUCAAAUGGGGAGUGUGCUGGUUAAAAGAUCACCAGGUACAUAUAAUCACAGGAAAAUUGUUGAGUCCACAUUCAGGCCACCUAGAAAUUUGUAUAAACUUACUGUAAGCCGUUUUGGCGCGAUCAAAACUGAAGAGAAUCGAUGAAGAAUAUCUUGACGAAGAUGAUAUAUGAUAAUUACAACAGGCACCUGAAGAAAGAAUAUACCAGGGACUGGUUUUGCCGACAUUGGAGCCAUGGAGAUCGGCGAUGAAAACAUCUCGAGAAGAAUGAACACCUUACUGACGGAAAAUUCGACUUUUAUAUCGAAUAUAGUUUGUAAAAAGAUCCUGAGGUGGCCACUUAUAACCAUAAUAACUAAUAACAUUUUUUAUAAUUUAGUAAAGAAAAUUACUAAUAUGAAA
rnacentral:lncRNA from 1 species